rnacentral:rRNA from 1 species
AGCGAACGCUGGCGGCAGGCUUAACACAUGCAAGUCGAGCGGGCGUAGCAAUACGUCCGCGGCAGACGGGUGAGUAACGCGUGGGAACGUACCUUUUGGUUCGGAACAACACAGGGAAACUUGUGCUAAUACCGGAUAAGCCCUUACGGGGAAAGAUUUAUCGCCGAAAGAUCGGCCCGCGUCUGAUUGGCGAGUUGGUGAGGUAACGGCUCACCAAGGCGACGAUCAGUAGCUGGUCUGAGAGGAUGAUCAGCCACAUUGGGACUGAGACACGGCCCAAACUCCUACGGGAGGCAGCAGUGGGGAAUAUUGGACAAUGGGGGCAACCCUGAUCCAGCCAUGCCGCGUGAGUGAUGAAGGCCCUAGGGUUGUAAAGCUCUUUUGUGCGGGAAGAUAAUGACGGUACCGCAAGAAUAAGCCCCGGCUAACUUCGUG